rnacentral:rRNA from 1 species
AAUCAACGCUGGCGGCGUGCCUAACACAUGCAAGUCGAACGCGAAAAUCCCGAAAGGGAUCAGUAGAGUGGCAAACGGGUGAGUAACACGUGGGUGACCUGCCUUCGAGUGGGGGAUAACGUCCCGAAAGGGACGCUAAUACCGCAUGACAUCCUGCUCUUGAACGAGUGGAGAUCAAAGCUGGGGAUCGCAAGACCUAGCGCUCAAAGAGGGGCCCGCGCCUGAUUAGCUAGUUGGUGGGGUAACGGCUCACCAAGGCAACGAUCAGUAUCCGGCCUGAGAGGGCGGACGGACACACUGGGACUGAGACACGGCCCAGACUCCUACGGAGGCAGCAGUGGGAAUUGUUCGCAAUGGGCGCAAGCCUGACGACGCAACGCCGCGUGGAGGAUGAAGACCUU